CAAGGUGAGGGAUAAACAAUGCUAGGGAAAACUAUUAGGUCCCAUCAAAUUAACCUGAACAUGUCACAGUGAUUAACAGCAAACAUUAUUGGGUAAAAAGGAGUGAUCAAGGGCACAACUUGCCUGGGACUCGAGAUUCUAGAUACCAGGAUGAUCUUCAGAUUCUCGGAACCUCACUGCUAUUUGUAGCAAUACAAACAAACAUGGUAUAGGCAAAAUUAACAUCACACCAAACAUAAGCACAAACUGCAUAAUAAUAUUCUACGCGAUGCUAUGAGAUCGUGGGCUCGAGAACCACUAAAUUCGGAGUUACGGUUAAGAAGAUAUGAUUUUCUAAAGUUGUAGAAGAUUAAACAAUAAAACUGUGUUUAUGUUGAUUAAAUAAAUCAGAUGAGAAAAAAAUACUUCAACUUAUACAUUUAAUACAUCUUCUCAUCUAAGUUAUAUCUUAACUAUGAGUUGGUUUAUAAUUAUUACUUUAGAGAGCUUAAUUGGCUAAACAUAGGCUAAGAGUUAUCUAAUUAUAAAAGUCUGCGACAUAGUACAACUAAUAUUAUUACUGUAUGUACAACAUUAUUAUGAGACCAACACAAUUUGAAUGGGUGUGAUUGGAGUUAAAAUGAGCAAGUUAUGGAGUUUACAAGUUUCAAGAUAUUUUAUUAUUGAUUUUAUACCCUGAAAUCAGUACCAAGGGUGUUUUUGCAACUUCCAGGGCUCCUACGUAAAACGUUUUACACUGCACGCGACCCCAGGUUAUUUUUGUACAAGAUCAGGGUCAUUUUAACAAAACCGCACGACCGAUCUCGCAAGAUUCAACCAGGGUCAUCCAUUUAAGGAUCUUGGGCCCAGAUUAGAUCAAGCCCCCAUCGAACCGGUAUGCAACAUGGACCGUCGGAUCACGAUCCCCCGGUCCAGAACCAACAUGCCCCAGAUCCAUUCUGAUCCAUCCGAUCGACACUCGGCCGCCUAGAUCCAAACACCUAAAAGGGUAUUUCUCGUCCUAAUCUCCACCGUACGAUUCCGAAUUGGCGAUCUGGAUUUGAUCAUGCGAAAGGAUACGCUUCAUCAAAUCGCAUUCGUUCACACAAGAUCGGAUGGCCUUGGGUUCCCCUCCCACUUCACCGGCCACGCGCGACGACACCCGAGCAUAGCCGGCGACGCCAUGUUCAGAAAUGAUGAACUCUCUGCUCCCCUGCUCAAACCCCGAUAUGGACCGUGCUACGCACUGCGGAGAAGAUGGCGAAGCUGAAGGAAGGGCUCUCACCGAGAUACGCGCAGGAGGAACCAUAGCCCACAGUGAUGA
rnacentral:lncRNA from 1 species